AUAGCAAAACGCUUGGGAUUUUUUUUUUUUUUUUGGCCAAACACCAAUAUUAUUUUCAAUUUGUUUUAUUUGGGUUUUAAAUAAUAUUGGCCUCAAUAUAGCUCCAUAAAAAUGUAUUUUUGUCUGAUGUUUCUGCUUGUAGUGUCCAGUAGGGGGCAGUGUAUGAUGAACAAGAAACAAUGUUUUUGACUGUGAAAAGAAGACAACGUUUCAGGAAGAAGUCAAACACUGUUGGAGUGUGUUAACAGAGAACUCUGAUGAAGAGUACGGAGCGUCAAAAGGCUGGGUCUCUAUGUGUUCCUCAGGCUGUGCUUCAGCGUCUACUCUCAGGUGCGAUCCCACAACUGAGCGGCACGCGGGCUUUGACCUGCUCCGUUUCCGCCCUGGGCCGAUUCACCCCUCCUUAGACGACCUGGUUGUCCCGGGCUCCCCCAGAAAGACCAUAUCGAUACCGAACUGAGUGUGGACCCCCGAUCAGCAUAGUCCACUGCAGCUCAGAGCUCCUGAGCUCCAACCAUCCUCCAGCCUCAGCCUCCAUGACACUUGGAUUACAGGCGCGCGCCAUCACACCCGGCGGGAAACUCUCCACAAAUCAGCUCUUUGACCAAGACGGUCGUCUGUCACAUAUGAGAGAAGCUUCUAGAAAUAAAUCCUCAGAGUUUCUGUUGUUAUCAGCUUUAUCAAAUUAUAUUUUAAAAUUAGAAGGAAAAAAACAAAUUUCUGUAGGUUUUUCAUUACUUUCAAUCAUUUUAUUAUUAUUUAACACAAACAUCAACAUGACAAAAGCCAAAAACACAAAAAAGACAAAACAAAGAACCUUAAAUGAGUAAAGACAAGAGUUUGGCGAGGUGUUUGAUGGAGCGGUUCGAUGAAUGUGUUGUCUUGUUGUGGGGUGGAGCAUGCUGUUUGGGUCUCUGCAGGAGCUUUGAACCAGAGCAGCAUAGUCCUGGUCCACUAGCUUCAGCAUGUCCUGUUGUCCCCGGUGCUUCGUUAGGAGGCCAUCAAUGACCUCCUUCAUGGGAGCAGGCCAGCGUGGAUGGUCCAACACCAGACAGAAGGGGCAAUGGUGAUGGAGCUGCAUCUUCUGAAACAAACACAAAGUUAAUUUGAUGUUUAACUGGAGAGUCAGCAGCUGAGAGGAGAUCCUGGCUGGUGUCUCCAGCUUGGAGUGAGUGGGCUGGAGUGUCCGUACUGGGAUGAUGAAGAGCAGGGUACUUGCCCUCACCCAUGGCCCGUUCAGACGCUGAACUGAGGUCCACAAUCAGAGCUGGAUCGAAGACAGCAGGGAGGCGAACAGCAGACAGCUUCAGCUCCACCAGACGCUGGAAGUUCCACCGAGCCACACCGGUCAUGCCCUGUGCCUGAAACAGUGACCCACUGAGCCUGGUGGAAGUGGUAGCCUUCCUGCUGGGAUGUUCCUCUGAUGGGGAUCCACACAGGAACCGGGACUCUUUCCCCUGGUACGUGGUUCAGCUGCAGAGUUCCUCUGUGGCGAUACAAGAUACCUCCUUCUACCUCAGGAUGGCUCAGACAGCCUCACAGGAUGUGGACCAGCUAAAUCCACCAAACCUUCAGCAUAGAGGGCUUAAAGAGGGGAACCGUUUGGGUCACUCGCCAGGUGGAAAUGCUGGACAACCUGCUCCACUCUCUUAAUGAGCUCUUAGAUGUGGUAUCCUGAUCCUGCAGUGUUGACGGAUGUGCUGCUUUGCUGGAUUCGGGGGAGGAAUUUCACAGAACCUGUGGGUGUCACUGAGCGUCUGCAGGUCCUCCUGAUCCACCACAGAGAAGGCAGCAGAGAGGAACCGGGGGGGCCUCUGACACACAUUCAUGGAGGAAGCACCUAAUGCAGUGAAACAAGUCCAACUUUAUGGUGAUGUCAGAGUUGUAGUGGGACCUGGACGGGCAGGAGUUGACCAGGCGUCCUGUCGUUGCCUCAGCAAUGAUAGCAUCUGUCAUUUUCCAGAACCUUCAGCUAAGAUGUUCUCCAGCACGUGUUUAUCUCACAACAAAGGCUGCACAGCAGUCCCAUAAAACGUGAUAGAGACUAA